AGGGAUCUUCCGCAUUUUGUUCCGAUAGCUCGAUAACAUUAACGUCAAUGCCAGUGGUACUGGGUUGAUAUUUGUUGAAUGGUAAUCCCAAAAGACGUCUCAUCAGCGACGUCUUUCCGCCUCGGUCUUGUCCGACCAGCAUAAUCGGAAUUCGAUUAUUUUUUGCUUUACCUUCUUGGAGAGCUUGCGAAUAUGCACGCCUAUAUUUUUCCUCUUCACGAUCUUGACAAAAUAAAGUUAAAACAAGAUUUAGCAGUAUGUAAAAUAAAACAUAACUUCCAUUAAAUGGCCUUCUAGAAAGCGCUCCCUCCUGUACCAUGUAAAUGCCCUGCCCUAAACGUGUAAGAAAUCACUCUGUAUGUUCAUUGUAGAUUUGUAGUUCCAUACCUACUAUUUCAAGACGAUUAAGGUCACGUGACCUCUUAGUGCAAGUUGCCAAUUGUUAAUUGGUCUCUUUUGUUUUAUCAAUGUAAUUAUAAAUCUCACGUGAAGUUCUGUUGUAGCUGUCUUGUCUAGAUAGGGUAG
rnacentral:lncRNA from 1 species